rnacentral:rRNA from 1 species
UACAGAGGUCUCAAGCGUUGUUCGGAUUCAUUGGGCGUAAAGGGUGCGUAGGCGGCGCGGUAAGUCGGGUGUGAAAUUUCGAGGCUUAACUUCGAAACUGCAUUCCAUAACUGCGGUGCUUGAGGACUGGAGAGGAGACUGGAAUUUACGGUGUAGCAGUGAAAUGCGUAGAGAUCGUAAGGAAGACCAGUGGCGAAGGCGGGUCUCUGGACAGUUCCUGACACUGAGGCACGAAGGCCAGGGGAGCAAACGGG